GGCUCAGCCGGUAAAGCAUCCGCCUGCAAUGCGGGAGACCUGGGUUCGAUCCCUG
rnacentral:tRNA from 1 species